AUUUUAAAUUAUGUAUGUGGCUCUCGUUUUUCUCAGAAAUUUAGAGAAAGCUAGCAAUAGUAAAGCCAUGUUAUGAGCCUUACAGACAUUGAAGUUAUUAAGGUCCCUGAAACUGGCUAUAAGA
ensembl:snoRNA small nucleolar RNA SNORA33